AACGGUUUUUGGAGCUUGCUCCAAGAUAGUGGCGGNCGGGUGAGUANCGCGUAGGAAUCUGCCUGUAGAGGGGGACAACCCGGGGAAACUCGGGCUAAUACCGCAUAAUAAUCGAAAGAUGAAAGGGUGGGACCUUAGGGCCACUCGCUAUAAGAUGAGCCUGCGUUGGAUUAGCUAGUUGGUGGGGUAAAGGCCUACCAAGGCGACGAUCCAUAACUGGUCUGAGAGGAUGACCAGUCACACUGGGACUGAGACACGGCCCAGACUCCUACGGGAGGCAGCAGUGGGGAAUAUUGGACAAUGGGGGCAACCCUGAUCCAGCAAUGCCGCGUGUGUGAAGAAGGCCUGCGGGUUGUAAAGCACUUUUAGCGAUGAGGAAGGGUGUUUGUCGA
rnacentral:rRNA from 1 species